rnacentral:lncRNA from 1 species
GGGGAGAAACUUAGAAAAUCUGAAAAGUGGGAGAGAGCUAAAAAAUUCAAAAUCCAAAAGCUUUAGAUCCAAAGGUCUGAAAUUCAAAUUUCAAAUCCAUAAAACUAAAAAGAAAAUUGAAAUCUAAGGUUUGAGAGUUGUAGGAGCUUCAAAAAUUACUAAAAAUCCAAAAAAACACACUAUUUUCCUCCAAUUUCCAUAGCUUAAACUCAUUACAGGGCUUAUAUUUCACCCGUUGAAGAUCAUUUAGAAACAACAUCAUUGAAACAUGGGUAUUGAAAAUCUUUAAAACCCGUAGGUUCCCAAUUUUAAAGCAAUGUUCUAUAUUUAUCUUGUAUUUUUGAUUGAUUGAAGUUUGAAGUUCGAUUGUGAAAAUCUGCUGCAUUCUAUUUGCUCCUGGUUUUACCGUGAAUCUGCUGAUUCCCUGCUGAAUUGCAACCACCGUUCUGCUGCUGCUUGGGCUGAUCCUCACCUUUUAUUUUGCUUCAAUUAUAGGUAUUCUUCAACCUCAAAUCACGUGUGAAGAAUUAAAUCAACAAGUGUAUUCGAAUUAUUGAAGAAAUGACAUAUUACUCAUGUUAUUUUCAUGUUUAGUUUACUUGUAUACACAUUAGUUUGAAUGUUAGGUUAUAUAGUAGUAGUAUUUAAAAUUUAAAUGACCUGGACUUUCAAUGGUUGUAAUAACUGGACUGUUUUCCUUUUCUUCAGGAACUAUACAAGUAGGAAAUGUUAGCUUGAAUUGUCCUGAGAAUAGUUACAUGUGUACUAUGCCCAUAUCAGUGUUCAUAGUCUUAAGCAUUUAUCAUGCUUUAAAUGCACUUUCCUAUUUUUAAAAUGUUGUGUGUCGCUGUUGUAGGACUAUUAUAAAAUAAUAUUAGUUUAUACACCUCCCCAUAUUUAUUGACCUAGAACUUCUCUGUGGAUCC